rnacentral:misc_RNA from 1 species
GUGAAUCAUCGAAUUUUUGAACGCAUAUUGCACUCUCUGGUAUUCCGGAGAGUAUGCCUGUUUGAGAGUAAUUAAAAAGAAUCUUUAAACAAGUUUUUUGGUCAAAGGGUAUGAGUUCGCCGCGUUUAUAGCGGUAUCUUGAAAUAAAUGGAAAAGUCUCAUUUUAGUCGAGACGCGUAAUAAUGUUAUUGCGCGAGAUCUUCAUUAGGUGACUAUCAAGUUUUGACGCAUACAAAUUUGGUUUGUUAGCUAUCAAUUCAAAUAUUUAGAACAUUACUUC